GUCAUUUUCCCUGAUUGAUUAGUGUCCUAUUUACGUUGCCUGUUUUUCGUCCUUAGUUGUUGUACCGUUAAUACAACUUAAGUCACAUUUGUGGUUGGUUCUGUUAUGACUGUUAUUGCCUUUUGUUUAUGCACUGUGGCUUGAUUUUUAUUUUUUUUAGAGUGCUUUUUCUUGAGGUUUAUUUUUUAACUUUACUAAGUUCCUGAUAGUCCUGGUACCCAUGUGUUUUUACCUGUUCCCCGAGCCUGUUCCUGUAUCUGUCUGCAAAGAAGCCAAGAAGAAAUAAAUGCUUCUGUGCUCCGCUGGGGAUGUCGCUCCCUAACCCUCACCCUAACCCUAACCGUCUUCCUGCAUAGGAGCUGUAUAAAGUCCAUCUUCAAAUGCAAAUUAGAAAAAGUGACAUGGAGAUGGACCUUCUACAACUUCAAAUGGAGGGAAAAAAGGAGAUAAAUAAACAAUGAACCACACUUGACUGUUCACUUUGUGCAUUAGUCUUUUAAUUAUAAGUGAUUUUGGCAGAUCACAUCAACACCCUGCAAUCUCUCUAGUCCACUGUGUUCACUUGGGGAUUGUCUUGAUCAUGUUCAUAAAGAGGGCCUUGAAAUAUGCUGGUGUUGUGUAGGUGAUCACUGGUGUGUGUGUGUGUGUGUGUGUGUGUGUGUGUGUGUAGGUGACACUGGUGUGUGUGUGUGUGUAGGUGAUCACUGGUGUGUGUAGGUGAUCACUGGUGUGUGUAGGUGAUCACUGGUGUGUGUGUGUGUGUGUGUAGGUGAUCACUGGUGUGUGUGUGUGUGUGUGUGUGUGUAGGUGAUCACUGGUGUGUGUGUGUGUAGGUGAUCACUGGUGUGUGUGUGUAGGUGAUCAGUGGUGUAUAGGUGAUCACUGGUGUGUGUGUAGGUGAUCACUGGUGUGUGU
ensembl:lncRNA